CCCGUGUUCACUGGUGUAAAUGACCGGAUGAGACUUGAAUCGUCAUUUUUCCACCCGGACGAGAGAUGCAGUCAGAUGUUGGUUUGGAGACGCCAAACCUGUGACAUCUGCUGCCCUGCGAUUCUCCCCGCAAAGCAUCAGCGACACCUAAGAAAAGUUGAAAAGUAUUCCGUGCGUAGUGAGAUGGAUAUCCAGACUAUAUAGCCUUCAAUGUUUCCCCCCCCCUCUUGAAUUCCCCGAGUGCCAUUCCUGACUACUACUACUACUAGCCCAUGCCUUUUACCUGUGCCAGGAAAAUAUGAAGUUGAAUGUCUUUUGAUCAUCGCAUUCCACCUUGUGUCCUUGACGUCAAAAACUGUGUCCACUUGUCAUUUUUGAAAAAUCACAGAGCAAGAUGGCUCGAUUCAGUGUUGGAGAGCGUCGGGGGGGAAAAAAAAGUGUUUUUAUGACUCGUUCCUGUUGGUUUCUUUUCUCUUUUUUUCUGUUAUAACUCAAAAGAAACCUUUUUAUCGACCAAGUUUUAUAAUUUCAGAGUCGGACGUGAGUUUAUGUGACUGGUCAUCUUUGCAACAUCUGCUUCUUCCUUAAAACUGUGGGUCGCCUUGCUCUUUAGCUCACGGCUGAAAUGGUAGAUAUAAUAGAUAUAUUACUCUGAUGUAUUUACUUUUUACUCUCUGGGCCUCGUACAGAGCAAUAUAAGAGUACUCUGUAUGAUUUGUAUCUGCAUGGCUUAUCUGGAGACGACGGCGGUCUUCUCCGGUGAAUUUUCUCUCCUGUAGGGCUCAUAUACUGUCGGGUCAGUGAGACGUUAUGGCUUCCAGUCCUCAUGUAAAAUAAAUUACAAAAAAAAAACAAAAAAAAAAAAAGAAAAGUCUUCAUUUCUUCUCACAACACAUUCCAUUUCAGUUCCCACCAUUUCUUAAAGCGUUCACUUGAGUCAGACUUUGCCUCUUUGUGUUGAUUGCGUUGGAUUUACUCUGGUUGUGUGUAAGUCACGUUCCUGUGUGUCAAAGCUGUGUAAAUCAAAGCAAAGGACAGUAAAAGUGUGAAUGAAUGGCUUAGGUCUUUAUUUUUUUUUUGGGUUCUCUGGCACUUUUCCUUGUUGCUGUACUGUAGAAUUGUCUUGGAUUUACUGUAUAUUUUUUCUUUGAGGGAGAGGUUUAGGGUGACAUUUACUGCAAUAUUGUGAUGAUUAUUUGAAAAUUGUAAAUUGUACAGAGUUCACAGUUGUAGUCUUUGUUCUUUCUGUUGGGGUUCCAGAUAAAAGAUGUAUUCUUUGAUUUUUUUUUUUUUUCCCUCUCAGACUGUGGAAAAAUCAAAUUGUACAGUUCAAAGAGUUUAUCCUCCCCUCAACAUUGUUUUUUUUUCUUUUUUUCCAGAGCUAUGAUUAAGAGAAAAACUGUAAAUAAAUAUUAUUGUGUUGAAAUAUGAAUGUCACUUCAAAAAUGUAUUUGAAUGAGUUAGUCAAGGGCUUCAAUGAAUGAAGGACCCAAGUUUCUUCUUUUUAUGGUUCAUAUUUUUAAUUUGCAGAAAGGUAAAGGUCCUUUUUAUCUGAAAAGCGUUUUUUUUAUUUUUUUUAUUUUAUUUUUAUGUUUUUUUGUUUUUCCUCCUUGGAUUCAUAUAAUACAAUGUGUCACACAUGAACCUUAUAAAAUCACUUUUUAUUCCCUCCACACCUAAAGGGAAACUCCAGUUUGCACCCUUUUUUAUGUAAAAUAAAAGAUCUCUCCACCUUG